rnacentral:rRNA from 1 species
CCUACGGGUGGCAGCAGUGGGGAAUAUUGGGCAAUGGGCGCAAGCCUGACCCAGCAACGCCGCGUGAAGGAAGAAGGCUUUCGGGUUGUAAACUUCUUUUAAGAGGGAAGAGCAGAAGACGGUACCUCUUGAAUAAGCCACGGCUAACUACGUGCCAUCAGCCGCGGUAAUACGUAGGUGGCAAGCGUUGUCCGGAUUUACUGGGUGUAAAGGGCGUGCAGCCGGGAAGACAAGUCAGAUGUGAAAUCCCGGGGGUCAACCCCGGACCUGCAUUUGAAACUGUUUUUCUUGAGGACCGGAGAGGUAUUCGGAAUGCCUUGUGUAGCGGUGAAAUGCGUAGAUAUAAGGAAGAACACCAGUGGCGAAGGCGGAUGACUGGCCGGCAACUGACGGUGAGGCGCGAAAGCGUGGGGAGCGAACAGGAUUAGAUACCCUGGUAGUC